GAUGAACGCUGGCGGCGUGCCUAAUACAUGCAAGUCGAGCGAACAGACGAGGAGCUUGCUCCUCUGACGUUAGCGGCGGACGGGAGAUUCACACGUGUUUAACCUACCUAUAAGACUGGGAUAACUUCGGGAAACCGGAGCUAAUACCGGAUAAUAUAUUGAACCGCAUUGUUCAAUAGUGAAAGUCGGUUUUUCUGUCACUUAUAGAUGGAUCCGCACCGCAUUAGCUAGUUGGUAAGGUAGCGGAUUACCAAGGCAACGAUGCGUACCCGACCUGAGCGGGUGAACGGCCACACUGGAACUGAGACACAGUACAGACUCCUACGGUAGGACGCGGUAGGGAAUCUUCCGCGAUGGACGAGAGCGUGACGGAGCAACACCGCGUGAAUGAUGAAGGUCUUCGGAUCGUAAAACUCUGUUAUUCGGAAAGAACUAAUGUGUAAGUAACUAUGCACAUCUUGACGGUACCUAGUCAGAAAGCCACGGCUAACUACGUG
rnacentral:rRNA from 1 species